GGUUACUGCUAUCGGUGUUCGCCUAAGCCAUGCGAGUCAUACGUUCGUAAGAACAUGGCGUACUGCUCAGUAACACGUGGAUAACCUGCCCUUGGGUCCGGCAUAACCCCGGGAAACUGGGGAUAAUUCCGGAUAACGCACAUAUGCUGGAAUGCUUUAUGCGUAAAAUGGAUUCGUCUGCCCAAGGAUGGGUCUGCGGCCUAUCAGGUAGUAGUGGGUGUAAUGUACCUACUAGCCUACGACGGGUACGGGUUGUGAGAGCAAGAGCCCGGAGAUGGAUUCUGAGACAUGAAUCCAGGCCCUACGGGGCGCAGCAGGCGCGAAAACUUUACAAUGCGGGAAACCGUGAUAAGGGGACACCGAGUGCCAGCAUCCUAUGCUGGCUGUCCGGGUGUGUAAAAUACACCUGUUAGCAAGGGCCGGGCAAGACCGGUGCCAGCCGCCGCGGUAACACCGGCGGCCCGAGUGGUGAUCGUGAUUGUUGGGUCUAAAGGGUCCGUAGCCGGUUUGGUCAGUCCUCCGGGAAAUCUGACAGCUCAACUGUUAGGCUAUCGGAGGAUACUGCCAGACUUGGAACCGGGAGAGGUAAGAGGUACUACAGGGGUAGGAGUGAAAUCUUGUAAUCCCUGUGGGACCACCUGUGGCGAAGGCGUCUUACCAGAACGGGUUCGACGGUGAGGGACGAAAGCUGGGGGCACGAACCGGAUUAGAUACCCGGGUAGUCCCAGCCGUAAACGAUGCUCGCUAGGUGUCAGGCAUGGCGCGACCGUGUCUGGUGCCGCAGGGAAGCCGUGAAGCGAGCCACCUGGGAAGUACGGCCGCAAGGCUGAAACUUAA
rnacentral:rRNA from 1 species